GCUGCUUCCGCUUGUCGCGGUGGAGUGUGGGGAGCGGCACAGGCCAGAGUUUGGUUGUCUGGCCUUGCGAGACAAGGCUGUGUCCUUGCGAGCUCGUGUGCUGUCUCCUGCGCCUUUCACAGCCUUUUGCACCAUCCAGGAGGCGGGAUUGGCGAAUCACACGCUGCAGAUCAGUCCCUUCCGUUCCCAUCUGUGUCUUUUGGGUAAGAAUUUUGAGCGCCAGGGCUCCCGGCUUCCCAACAUCGGUCUCAGACACAGAAGUGGAGCAAAGACAUGUCUUCUAAAGCGAUCACAAAGGCUGACCUAGGGAAGGAGAACCGGAAGCAGCCGUCGACAGCCAGCUCGUUUGUUUACUUAUUAUUUGCUUAUGAUUUUUGGACAUAGGUGUAACUCCCCAUAUAAAGGGAAGUGAUCUUGCACUCCCCAUCCUCCUCUCGGCUCUUCAUUACUGCGAUGAUAGCCGUGUUCCACCACCAUACCGUGGUUAUGGGAUGCUGGGGAUGGAAGGCAGGGCUGGGUGCAAGUUACCAUCGGCCUUUAAAAUAAAGACAGUGGUGGUGCACACCUUAAAUUUCAGCACUUGGAAGGCAGUGGCAGGAAGAUCUUGAGUUCGAGGCUAGUCUGAUCUACAGAAUGAGUUCAGGAAAGCCAGGGCUACACAGAGAAACCCUGUCUCGAAAACAAACAAAAACCAAACAUUUUAUGGUGGGUUUGUGCAUGUGACUUCAGUGCCUGCAGAAGCUGGAAGAAGGCAAAAUAUCUCUUGGAGCUGUGUGCCAAUAGCUGUGCAUUAUUAUUAUUUUUUGUUGUUGUUUUGUUUUUUGGCAUUUGUGCUGGCCACCAAAGCCCUUAAUGAACCUCUGAGUCUUCCAGUCUGUUAUGCCAGGAUCUCCUGCUUUUCCUAAUUCUGUUGCCCUGUUGGAUACCUCAGCUGCUGGAAGCUCCACACCAAGAUUAUACGAGGAGGAAGGAUGCAGUUGAACCUGGGAGGGAUCCUGACACUCUUGAGAUUCCCAGUGCUCUUUCCAGGCACUGCUGUGAAAGCCCUUUAUGGUGUUCUGCUCUUCGAGCUGCAGAAAGAGCUUACUGGUGAUGUGCUUGGCAUGGGAGCAGGAUGACCUGAUCUCAGAUCCAAGAACUUGAUAUAAAGGCCAGACAACAAUAACGUAGGGCUGUAAUCGCAAAAGAAUGUUGUAAUCCUGCAGGGCCUGCUUGUGUGGCUCACAGUAAAUAGGAGUCUGCACCUGCUCAACCCGUCUCCCUCAUUCUCACCUGAGAUUGUUCCAGAAGAUUCUUGAUGAUGCUAUGAGAUCUCCUUGCAGAACUUAGUAACUUCCCUGACAAAGCUCAGUCCACACUGUCUUUGAUUCUUCAGCUCCCAGGCUGCCCAGCCCUCAUCUUGUUGUCCUCACCUGCAAGGCAGCUGAUGGGUCACAUCAUGGACGGUGGCACUCCUGGAUCACAACUCUGGCUCAAGCGUGUGUCUACUCAGCACUCUGCUUGGACCAGGGGUCUGGACCAAACUAACUUACUGGAGCACAUGGAGAGACCUUCCCUGACAAACCAGAACCAAUCUCAAGCUCCUGGAGACCAUCAUCAUUUAUUUUUGGUGAACACAGCUAUUCCCACAGAACAGUCUAUGACACAGGAGCCUGAAGAUGAUGACAAUGGAAAACAAGAACAUGACAAUUUCCCCGUUUCAGACCCUGAGGUUUUGGGGCUCGGGGUCUGAUCAUGGAGAGCCCAUUGCUUGGAGACCUCCAAACACACAGAGAAAUCAAGUCUCAAAUACUCUCCUGCCCCAACACACCUAGCUCAUUUCCUCCGUCAAAGGAGUUUUGAAUUUUCUGUAGAAUAAAUGAUAUAAAAUAAGGUGCUGCGUGUGGCAGCUCCUGGCCAGCAUCAGCCUGCGCUUCUAUUCUGUGGCCAGCCUGGGCUAAGGCAGACACCAUCUCAAAGAAAUAAAUAACAAAAAGAAGACCCGAGUGCUGUAACAGUGAACAGACUUAUAAAAGUCUUAAGUCUCAGUUUCCCCUUCUGUGAAAUGAAAGAGGUGGGUAGGUCAGGAUCAGUAUUUUGGCCAAGCCAUUUCAAAGGGUAUAUGAGGAGAGCAACAUAAAUUCUCUAAUAUGAAUGUCCAACAGAGGUGGGAUGGAACAAACCGGUAGAGGGAGGUGAAUGUGGCAGGGGGCAAGGUGUGAGGGUGGGGCUAAUGUGACUUUGAAUGGGCCAAAGUAAACUGUGGAUCAUCA